rnacentral:RNase_P_RNA from 1 species
CUCGUUGGUUGGACAAUCGCGCUGCUUGCAGUGAGGAAAGUCCGAGCACCACAGAACAAUCACGCUUGAUAACAUCAAGCCAGGGCGACCUGAGGAAAAGUGCAACAGAAAUAUACAGCCCCUUAAAAGGCAAUGGUGAAAAAGUGGGGUAAGAGCUCACUCGAAAUAUUGGUGACAAUAAUUCGCUGUAAACUCCGUGAGGUGCAAGGUGUGGAACACAUGGGCUGUUCGUCCGUUCCCGUGACCGCUUGAGCAUGACAGCAAUGUCAUGACUAGAUUGAUGAUUGUCUUAAAUGACAGAACUCGGCUUACAGACCAACCAGAAAC